rnacentral:rRNA from 1 species
UAAACGACUCUCGGCAACGGAUAUCUCGGCUCUCGCAUCGAUGAAGAACGUAGCGAAAUGCRAUACUUGGUGUGAAUUGCAKAAUCCCGUGAACCAUCGAGUUUUUGAACGCAAGUUGCGCCCAAAGCCCUCGGGCUAAGGGCACGUCUGCCUGGGUGUCACGC